rnacentral:rRNA from 1 species
UACGGGAGGCAGCAGUGGGGGAAUAUUGCACAAUGGGCGAAAGCCUGAUGCAGCGACGCCGCGUGAACGAAGAAGNAUUUCGGNAUGUAAAGNUCUUAUCACNCAUGGGAAGAAAAAUGACGGUACCUGACUAAGAAGCUCCGGCUAAAUACGUGCCAGCAGCCGCGGUAAU